rnacentral:rRNA from 1 species
GUGGGGAAUAUUGGACAAUGGGCGAAAGCCUGAUCCAGCCAUGCCGCGUGUGUGAAGAAGGUCUUCGGAUUGUAAAGCACUUUAAGUUGGGAGGAAGGGCAGUAAGUUAAUACCUUGCUGUUUUGACGUUACCGACAGAAUAAGCACCGGCUAACUUCGUGCCAGCAGCCGCGGUAAUACGAAGGGUGCAAGCGUUAAUCGGAAUUACUGGGCUUAAAGCGCGCGUAGGUGGUUCAGCAAGUUGGAGGUGAAAUCCCCGGGCUCAACCUGGGAACUGCCUCCAAAACUACUGGGCUAGAGUACGGUAGAGGGUAGUGGAAUUUCCUGUGUAGCGGUGAAAUGCGUAGAUAUAGGAAGGAACACCAGUGGCGAAGGCGACUACCUGGACUGAUACUGACACUGAGGUGCGAAAGCGUGGGGAGCAAACAGGAUUAGAAACCCGGGUAGUCC